rnacentral:rRNA from 1 species
GAUGAACGCUGGCGGCGUGCCUAAUACAUGCAAGUCGAGCGAACAGACGAGGAGCUUGCUCCUCUGACGUUAGCGGCGGACGGGUGAGUAACACGUGGAUAACCUACCUAUAAGACUGGGAUAACUUCGGGAAACCGGAGCUAAUACCGGAUAAUAUAUUGAACCGCAUGGUUCAAUAGUGAAAGACGGUUUUGCUGUCACUUAUAGAUGGAUCCGCGCCGCAUUAGCUAGUUGGUAAGGUAACGGCUUACCAAGGCAACGAUGCGUAGCCGACCUGAGAGGGGGAUCGGCGACACUGGAACUGAGACACGGUCCAGACGCCUACGGGAGGCAGCAGUAGGGAAUCUUCCGCAAUGGGCGAAAGCUUGACGGAGCAACGCCGCGUGAGUGAUGAAGGUCUUCGGAGCGUAAAACUCUGUUAUUAGGGAAGAACAAAUGUGUAAGUAACUAUGCACGUCUUGACGGUACCUAAUCAGAAAGCCACGGCUAACUACGUG